AUUGAACGCUGGCGGCAGGCCUAACACAUGCAAGUCGAACGAGUGGCGGACGGGUGAGUAAUGACUGGGAAACUUCCUGAUGGAUGGGGAUACCUACUGGAAACUAUAGCUACUACCGCAUACCAUCAGAUGUGCCCAGAUGGGAUUAGCUUGUUGGUGGGGUAACGGCUCACCAAGGCGACGAUCCCUAGCUGGUCUGAGAGGAUGAACAGCCACACGGGAACUGAGACACGGUCCAGACCCCUACGGGAGGCAGCAGUGGGGAAUAUUGCACAAUGGGGGCAACCCUGAUGCAGCCAUGCCGCGUGUGUGAAGAAGGCCUUCGGGUUGUAAAGUACUGUCAGCGGGGAGGCGGUACCCGCAGAAGAAGCACCGGCUAACUCCGUGCCAGCAGCCGCGGUAAUUC
rnacentral:rRNA from 1 species